UCCGUUAAAGUAUUUGUGAAAAUACUAAACGAUCAACAUGUUAUUCUACUUCGUUUCACUUAAUGUACUGAGUGUCGCAAUACUUGGAUCCUUAGCCAGUGAACUUAAACUCCCUAUAACCACCUGCAAACAAGAUUCAACAAAUUAUUCCGCUUGUUUAAAAUAUUCUUUGGAAGAAGCAUGGCCACAAUUUGUUGCAGGGAUCCCAGAAUUUGACUUUCCAUCUUUGGAGCCAUUAUUUUACAAAUAUGGUAAAACUGUAUUUAAUGCAGGCGAGAUACAUGCACAAGUUAUUUUUUCAAAUAUCAGCGUUUUCGGUAUGUCGAUGGCUCGUUUCUUUGAUAUCAAAACACAUUUUCUUGAUGACGUUUUCCGUUUGGAAAUUGAAGUAUUAUUACCGAAAGUGUUGGUAGAAGGUGUCAUAAAAAUGAAUGGUACUCUAAAUGUAUUUAGAAUUGCUGGUGAAGGUCCUUUUAAUAUAACUAGUGAUGAUGUCAGAUCAACGUGGAAUGCAACAGGACACGUAGUAAAUGAUACAUGGAUUGUAGAAAAUUUCCGUUUAUAUCCAUCAGUUAAAAAACUUGAAGUGUAUUUUGAUCUUCUUCAUGACAAUAAACAACUUAGUAUCUUGGAAGACGUGGAUGAUAUACAUAAGCGCAAACAGCUACGUGAACACGGGAUAGAUGGGCUGCACGUUGUGGCAGGGAUAUUCUCAGGAAAUUCACCAUUUUUAAGCUUAUCCAUGGUACUUAUUUCUCGGGAGAUACGGGAGGCCCAGAGCUUCACUCUGGCAGCGGGCGGAAGGAUACAAAACGAGCGCAAGCUCGCCGGGCGUAAAGGAUGAACGUGUUUUCCAGCCGUAGGAACGAGAUACGUUC